AGUAGCCUAGAACUCGCGUUAAGGAUUCAUAAUUGAACCUACACUUUCGCAAUGGGAAUCCGGGUCCAGGGAGCCAAUGUCAAGCCUCCAUAGAGUGGAAGACAAAAGCCCCGGCAGGAUACCCACCUAUCAAUAGAUAGGGCGUCAAUUAUAUCCUGACGGAGCUUUCUGGGUUUUUU
rnacentral:other from 1 species